ACGCGAAGAAAGGAUUCGAACCAAUAAUUUCAGGUCAUGAGGCUGAGGUGUUACCGUUACACUACUUCGCG
rnacentral:tRNA from 1 species